rnacentral:lncRNA from 1 species
UCACAAAUAUCACUCAAAUACAUCUCAAUUCAAUCUUAAUUUAAUUCUAGUUAAAAUCCUAUUGAACUUCAUUCAAACUUUAGGCCAAACCUAAUCAAAUCUUAAAUCCUAAUGAAAUCCUAAAUCCUAAAUCAAACCUUAAACAAACCUUAAACCAAAUCUCAACCAAAUCCUAAACCAAAUCUUAACCAAAUCCUAAUUAAAUCCUAAAUCCUAAAUCAAAUCCUAAUCAAAUUCUAAUCCAAAUCCUAAACCCUAAACCAAACCCUAAUCCAAACCCUAAAUAAAACCCUAACCAAAUCUUAAAUCAAACCCUAACUAAAUCCUAAACCAAAUCCUAAAUCCUAAACCAAAUCCUAAUCAAAUUCUAAACCCUAAAUUAAAUCCUAACCAAAUCCUAAAUCCUAAAUCAAACCCUAAUCCAAAUCCUAAACUCUAAAUCAAACUCUAACCAAACCCUAAACUAAACCCUAGUAAUUCCUACAAUAGAUUUAAACCUCAAUAACUAAUGAAUAAACUAUCGAUCUUAACUCAAAUUUUUCACACUUCUUA